rnacentral:rRNA from 1 species
UACGUAGGGCGCGAGCGUUGUUCGGAUUCAUUGGGCGUAAAGGGCGCGUAGGCGGCGGGGUAAGUCGGGUGUGAAAUCUCAGAGCUCAACUCUGAAACUGCACUCGAUACUGCUCUGCUUGAGGACUGGAGAGGAGACUGGAAUUCACGGUGUAGCAGUGAAAUGCGUAGAUAUCGUGAGGAAGACCAGUGGCGAAGGCGGGUCUCUGGACAGUUCCUGACGCUGAGGCGCGAAGGCCAGGGGAGCAAACGGG